UCAGCCUCUCUGUUGGCUACAGGCAGCGGAUAUGUCGGACCCUUUCCCGCACACACUACUCUGAUCUUCAAACAUGUCGAUACAAACAUUGGAAAGGCCUACAACCCAGACACAGGUAUUUUCACUGCACCAGUGAGAGGAGCCUACCACUUCGAGUGGUACAUAGGAACAUAUGGAGGUCACCAGGCUUCAGCAGCUGUGUUGGUCAAGAACUCACAACUCAUUUUUAUGGCAUAUGAACAUCAGACAUCCGGUUAUGGGACUUCUGCUAUGGGGGCUACACUGCUCCUAGAGGUUGGAGAUGUUGUGUUUGUGCGUCUGUGGGAAAAUACAAAGGUGUUUGAUGAUGGUAGUCACCAUACCACCUUCAGUGGUCAUCUGCUUUUCACCAUGUAAGACAGAAACUCUUCCUCUUUUCCUUUUAAAACUCUUGAACAGUUCUUCCUCUGAACUGAUCUCAAAUGUAAUCUGAUAAUCUUGAAUCACUGUAGUAAUGUAUAGUGAACUCUGAUUUUCCUUUAUAUAAAAAGCUGGAUGACAGAGAAGUGCAACAUCAAUUUAUACAAAUGAAAAUCUUUAUUAUUAUUAAAGCAAUCUAACAUACAGGUAGCUUUUCUUUUCAAAUUUGAAAGUGAUACGUUUUUCUGAUGCUCUUGUCUAUAAUAAAAUAAUAAACAUACAAUUAUAA